rnacentral:rRNA from 1 species
AUUUCUGAAAGUUGACCU